CCGCCUAAAGGGAGAGAAAUUUUUUUUUUGGGGGGGGGCCCGGAGUGCGCCCCCCCCCAAGGGGCGCCGGCCCAAAUCCCUCCGGGGGGGAGUUGCCAAACCAACCGGGCGCGCCUUAAGGUCUCCAAUGGGAGGGUUAAAUUUUAUUCUUUAAGGGGACCAUUGGAGCGCAUUUGGGGCCCACCCGCGGCGAAUUCCCGUCCCAAUGCGUUUUUAAAAGUUGUCCCAGUAAAAACUCCGUAGUCGAACGUUCCCUUUGUCUAGGCCUCUCAUCAUUCAGUUGUGAGUUUGUUUUAGACGGGCACAAAGUCUAGAUGGCUGAGUUCUUCGGGGCUUGAGUCUAUUCACUAGGCGUAUUACCAUGAGCAAAUCAGAGUGUUUAAAGCAGGCUCUUAAGCUUGAACGUGUUAGCAUGGAAUAAUGAAAUAUGACCCAGCGUCUAUUUCGUUGGUUUUGAGACCCAAAGUAAUGAUGAAUAGGAGUGGUCGGAGGCAUUUGUAUUUCGGCGCUAGAGGUGAAAUUCUUGGAUUGCCGGAAGACAAACUACUGCGAAAGCAUCUGACCCAGGACAUCUCCAUUGAUCAAGGGCUAAAGUUGAGGGAUCGAAGACGAUUAGAUACCGUCGUAGUCUUAACCACAAACGAUGCCGACUAGAGAUCGGGCUUGACUAUUUAGGCUUGCUCGGGAUCUUAGCGAAAGCAAAGUUUUUGGGUUCUGGGGGGAGUACGGCUCGCAAGGCUGAAACUUAAAGGAAUUGACGGAAGGGCACCACCAGGAGUGGAGCCUGCGGCUUAAUUUGACUCAACACGGGGAAACUCACCAGGUCCAGACAUACGGAGGAUUGACAGAUUGAAAGCUCUUUCUAGAUUGUAUGGGUGGUGGUGCAUGGCCGUUCUUAGUUCGUGGAGUGAUUUGUCUGGUUAAUUCCGAUAACGAACGAGACCUUAUUCUGCUAAAUAGACAGACUCAUUUUUUAAUGGGGUUGAAGGCUUCGGUCUUUACUGUCUUCUUAGAGAGACUAUCGUCUUUAAGACGAAGGAAGUUUGAGGCAAUAACAGGUCUGUGAUGCCCUUAGAUGUUCUGGGCCGCACGCGCGCUACACUGAUGCAGGCAGCGAGUUAUCUUUCCUUGGCUGACAAGUCUGGGUAAACUUCUGAAACUGUAUCGUGCUGGGGAUAGAGCAUUGCAAUUAUUGCUCUUCAACGAGGAAUUCCUAGUAAGCGCAAGUCAUCAGCUUGCGUUGAUUACGUCCCUGCCCUUUGUACACACCGCCCGUCGCUACUACCGAUUGAAUGGCACGAGCAAGCAUUAGGGACGAACUCGCCUGGGUUGGCAACGACCUUGGGUUGAGUGUGGCAGUUUACUGUCCUUCGGAACGCUUGCGAGAACAUCCACGCCAU
rnacentral:rRNA from 1 species